GGUCUUAUAGUGUAGUGGUUAGCACAGCGGGUUUUGAUCCCGCUAACCCGAGUUCGAAUCUCGGUAAGACCU